rnacentral:snoRNA from 1 species
UGACAAUGAUGUGGAUAAUUUUUGAGCAUGCCUUUAAAUCUCUCCCAAGCUUGGUAGAGAUUUUCUCUAUCUUUCUAUCUGAAACUCAAGAUCUCUCUCCUCAAUCG